ensembl:misc_RNA Metazoa_SRP Metazoan signal recognition particle RNA
GCCAGGUGUGGUGGAGCACACCUGUAAUCUCAGCUACUCGGGAGGCUGAGGCAGGAGAAUUGCUUGAACCCAGGAGGUGGAGGUUACAGUGAGCUGAGAUCAUGCCACUGCACUCCAGCCUGGGUGACAGAGUGAGACUCUGUCUCAA